rnacentral:piRNA from 1 species
UCUAGGGUGAUGAACUUUUCUGCAGGAGGAC